rnacentral:rRNA from 1 species
CCUACGGGAGGCAGCAGUGAGGAAUAUUGGUCAAUGGUCGCGAGCCUGAACCAGCCAAGCCGCGUGAGGGAUGACGGUCCUACGGGUUGUAAACCUCUUUUGCCGGGGAACAACGGGCGUCACGUGUGGCGCCACUGAGAGUCCCCGGAGAAAAGGCAUCGGCUAACUCCGUGCCAGCAGCCGCGGUAUUACGGGGAAUGCGAGCGUUAUCCGGAUUUAUUGGGUUUAAAGGUGGCGUGGGGGGCUCGUUAGGUCAGUGGUCAAAUGCAGGGGCUCAACCCCUCCCCGCCGUUGAAACUGGCGGUCUUGAGUGGGAGAGAAGUAUGCGGAAUGCGUGGUGUAGCGGUGAAAUGCAUAGAUAUCACGCAGAACCCCGAUUGCGAAGGCAGCAUGCCGGCUUCCGACUGACGCUGAAGCACGAAAGCGUGGGGAUCGAACAGGAUUAGAUACCCGAGUAGUC